ACGGGAGGCAGCAGUAGGGAAUAUUGCACAAUGGGGGAAACCCUGAUGCAGCAACGCCACGUGUGGGAGACGCAUUUCGGUGUGUAAACCACUGUCGUGAGGGAAUAAGGACGCUUCUCGGAGCGUUUGAAUGUACCUCGAAGGGAAGCACCGGCAAACUUCGUGCCAGCAGCCGCGGUAAUACGAGGGGUGCAAGCGUUGUUCGGAAUCACUGGGCGUAAAGGGAGCGCAGGCGGAAGUGCAAGCGGUCUGUACAAUACCGGGGCCCAACCCCGGACCUGCAGACCGGACUGCAUUUCUUGGAUAGUUCAGGGGCAAGCGGAAUUCCUGGUGUAGCGGUGGAAUGCGUAGAGAUCAGGAAGAACACCGAUGGCGAAGGCAGCUUGCUGGGGACUUAUCGACGCUCAUGCUCGAAAGUGCGGGUAGCAAACAGGAUUAGAUACCCUGGUA
rnacentral:rRNA from 1 species